UGCCAGCCGCCGCGGUAAUACGGAGGGUGCAAGCGUUAUUCGGAAUUGCUGGGCGUAAAGCGCGCGUAGGCGGACUGUUAAGUCGGAUGUGAAAGCCCUGGGCUCAACCUGGGAAUUGCAUUCGAUACUGCUUAGCUAGAGUAUGAGAGAGGGUAGUGGAAUUCCGGGUGUAGCGGUGAAAUGCGUAGAUAUCCGGAGGAAUACCGGUGGCGAAGGCGGCCUCCUGGCUCGAUACUGACGCUGAGGCGCGAAGGCGUGGGUAGCGAACGGGAUUAGAUA
rnacentral:rRNA from 1 species